GAAACGGGUGGUAAUGCCGGAUGCUCCGACUCCUCGCAUGGGGUGUCGGGAAAGAUUUCAUCGGUAUGGGAUGGGGUCGCGUCCUAUCAGGUAGUCGGCGGGGUAACGGCCCACCGAGCCUACGACGGGUAGCCGGCCUGAGAGGGCGACCGGCCACAUUGGGACUGAGAUACGGCCCAGACUCCUACGGGAGGCAGCAGUGGGGAAUAUUGCACAAUGGGCGCAAGCCUGAUGCAGCGACGCCGCGUGCGGGAUGACGGCCUUCGGGUUGUAAACCGCUUUUGAUCGGGAGCAAGCCUUCGGGUGAGUGUACCUUUCGAAUAAGCACCGGCUAACUACGUGCCAGCAGCCGCGGUAAUACGUAGGGUGCAAGCGUUAUCCGGAAUUAUUGGGCGUAAAGGGCUCGUAGGCGGUUCGUCGCGUCCGGUGUGAAAGUCCAUCGCUUAACGGUGGAUCUGCGCCGGGUACGGGCGGGCUGGAGUGCGGUAGGGGAGACUGGAAUUCCCGGUGUAACGGUGGAAUGUGUAAAU
rnacentral:rRNA from 1 species